AAUCAUCAUGUUACCUCCAGAAUUCUACUCCUCCAUGCAGCUUCUCUGUGCAUAAAAUCCUUGGAUAGAAGAAAUGUCUGCUGGCCUAGAACUGAUUUUAACACUGAAAAUAUUAAGGCCACAUAACACAAGGCUGGGCAGGUGCAUAUCUCACCCAAAGCAUCUGCUUUUCUCUACAAUCUCAAAAGAGAACUACUUGCCCAUUGUUCACACAGCUCAUGGGUUAACAAGAGGUAAGAAGGCAUCGGUCGCUACGUUUCGGAAAGAACAGCUUCACUUCAUCUGAGUCUCUGUGUUUCUGCACCAGGUGAGGAGGUGGAGGGAUGUGAGGAGGGGUACUUGAGUGCUUCAGCAUCUAUUAAUGGCUUUUGUUGAAGAUCUGUUGCUUGUUUACUGUCACCCCAAUAGCCACCCAAGGAGAAGGUGA
rnacentral:lncRNA from 10 species